rnacentral:rRNA from 1 species
UACGUAGGGUGCAAGCGUUAAUCGGAAUUACUGGGCGUAAAAGGGUGCGCAGGCGGCUUGCUAAGACAGGUGUGAAAGCCCCGAGCUUAACUUGGGAAUGGCGCUUGUGACUGGCAGGCUGGAGUGUGGCAGAGGGAGGUGGAAUUCCACGUGUAGCAGUGAAAUGCGUAGAGAUGUGGAGGAACACCGAUGGCUAAGGCAGCCUCCUGGGCCAACACUGACGCUCAUGCACGAAAGCGUGGGGAGCAAACAGG